rnacentral:lncRNA from 1 species
AUAUGUAUCAAUUUUAAAAGAUGAUUUGGUAUGUUUCGUAAUUGUUGUUCAUAUUCUUACGUUUUUAUUAGAAACUUUGCAUGAAAUAAUCCUUAAGUUUGAUACUAAAGACCUUUUUGUACUUAUCACUUUUGUAAAAAUGGUAAUUAAACAUAUUUAAAUGAUUGUGUUUUAACUUCCUCAAUGUAUAAACAUUGCUCAAAAAUGUUAGAAGGUGUUAAUAAAUCUAUAAACCACUUUUGACAGUUUUACCCUUUACUGUCCCUGUUUUUAGAAAACUCAUAGAAAAAUCAUCGUAAGUCAAAAACUGAAUCCGUCACCUCUGAGAGUUUAUAAAAUGAGUCUACUUUGUUCCUAAUUUUUAUUAUGAUUUUUAGUGGUCUCAAACUAGUGUGAAAAUGAACAUCUUCACAGACUGGUCCGAAAUCACUUCUGAAAUGACAGGCAGUUUUAUAAAAAUCGCCAUAAAUUGUAGAAAAAUCGUAUGAACGCGUGCGAGUAGUCAUUAGAAAGGUAUAAACUUGAACUAUUUGCAUAUUGUACAGUUUUGAAAGAUAUUAAGUUUAAGAUGGUCAAAACAGUCCGUGAACAGGACUCAACUUUUCUGUAGAAAGCUGUCAUUUAAAUUUAAGUUAUGUUUAGUGUUCUAACUUGUAUUCCCCCCCUUAAAACUUGAAUAAAACAUGAAAAUGUAGGGGUAUGAACUCACCUUAUGUGAAUACUUGAAGAAUGGAAGGUUGAAGAUGAACUUUUGGUUGUUGGUUUGAUGCUCCAAAACAGCCACUCUUUUGGCUUUGUUGCUGUCACGACAAUUUCACAGCAAAAGAGCAAGAAAAAGGGUAGUUUUUUACUCACUGUUUUGAAUCAAUAAUUUUGAGUAUCAUAACAAGUAACUUCCAGGGGUAUUUGGUGGUAAAAAUAUCAAGCAAAAGGAAGGUGUAGAUGGGUGAAAUGGUGGCUGAAACACAAAAGGGACAGCAACCCUUUAGUUCAUGGUUUUGAUGGCUUUGGAAGGAAGUUCUUGUGCUUGAAAAUGAGAUGAAGGUUGAGAGUAAUUACUUGGAGUAUUGGCUGGUCAAAUGAGGGUAAAAUGAAGAGGAAAUUUCGUGGUUAUGAAGGAGGAAAGGGUGGAAGAGGAUAAGGGGACAAAACCUAGACUAGCUUGUGAUGGGAUGUGAGUUUAAGUGAUGUGAUCUUGUCUAGCCACUUGCUUGGGUGGUUGCUUAGAGAUAGAGUUAGUUAACUAACUAACUACUAGUUAUUUAGUUAGUUAGGAGUUCUAGUUAAGGAGAGGGAAGGUCUUAAUCUCGAAAAUUAGAAGAGGGAUUAAGAAGCAUUCUUAGUAAAAUGUCUUAAGUGAUUAAGCACUUAUUAGUUAAGUUGGCACUUAUCUCCACCAAUUCUCUUAUCUUAAUUGAUUUAGACAUCAUAAAACUUACAUGAAAUCACUUUAAGUCAUGACCCAUAACUAGUCAUUCACUAGAUAAUAAUACAUAUAUACAAAUACAUACAUGUAUACUUAGUAUAAAAUAACAAUGUAGUUUUUGUGUAUUUGAACUUUAAUGUUUAUGUUUUAUUCUUUUUAUUCAAAAACACUUAAAUACAUUCUAAUUAUACCUUAUAAUAAUUCAUUUUAUAUUUUAAUUUAUUUAAAUAUAAAAUUUAUUGACCAAUGUAUAAUUUCGUGACAUUUAACCGGUUAACCAUAUCGUUAAACACGUUUUGUCACUUUGGUUCGUAUAUUUGUCAAAUUUAGAUCCUCCACAUCUAUUAAGCAAACGUUUUACAUAGAACCUAACUUACUUAUCAACUAGAGAAAUGUUGAUACAAAAAUUAAGUUUGUUGCGUUUAAAUGAUGUUAUAUGCUAAUUUCACAAACCGGUGAUGGUUCGUAGCCAUACAUCAUAACGAAAUUUAUCAAUAGCUACUUGUUUUAUAUUUCACAAUAACUUAUUUAAAUAAAAGAGGUUAAAUUCCUUCAACCAUUCUUGAUAAAAUACUCAUAUUGCUUAAUAAUCAAAACAUAGCAUCGUACAAUCGUUCAUAUUUUUACCAAUUGUUACAUUCUCCCCCUGUUAAAAGAAUUUCGCCCCGAAAUUCAACUUGUAGACGGGAUAUCACUAAAAAAUUGGGGGUGUUUUUUUUUUUUUGAUCCUCGCAUUCCUUAGUGAAUUUCGGUCCUCGCUUGGUGUUCCAACGAGCCGUCAUUAUGGGCAUGCGACUUUGUUUUGUCCUUUUGACCUUUUGAUCCAUGAUUUCCACCGGUUCUUCGAUGAAGUUUAGACUCCCGUUGAUUUCAAUUUCAUCCAGUGGAAUAACAAGAGUCUCAUCAUACACGCUCUUCUUCCGAACCUGGGAUGCCUUCAAUUGUUCACAGGUUUGAACAAUCCUCUCUAUAGUUUCUCGUAUGAUCUGGGGGCUGGUGAGAGUGUUGUUAGGAACUUGCCUGUUAGCUAUUUGCGUGUCACCUACCUCAUCCCAUCAAAGAGGUGAUCUACACUUGCUUCUGCAGAGAGCUUCGAAUGACGCGACUUUGAUGUUAAUGUAAUAGUUGAUGUUGUAUAAGGAUUCGAUGAAUGGCUCUUCCUCUUUGUCUUUCAGUUUGAGGGUGAUAAAAAGGACUUCUUUAACGAAUAUCGAAAACACGAGGCGAAUCACCUGUGCCUUAUCCAAAAUGAUAGAUAGUGGUAUACUCUGCAAUCUCGCAAUCUUCUUGUGAUAUGCUCCUAUCAGCUUUUCUAUUUUUCUUUGUAGCCUUGGUUGGUAGAAAGUGUGUGGGUUUGUUUGAUUUGUCUACGCUCGCUCAAGUGGUAGCGUGUCCAUCCGCUGUCUUGGGUAACUUGUCAUGGAGUUCAUGGUAUGACUCAUAACUGAUUCAUCUAUCAUCUCUUUGUAUUUAUAAGUCAUAUAUAAUUAAGAAUGAAAAGACAGUCGAAUCGGUGAUUCUAUUCUAAACCCACAUCCAAACAAGGAAAAGGAUUUAAAGCGAAAUUACCAACCCUAAGUCCGUAGAAUCUUAAUUAUAUAGGGCUCCAAUAUAUACACUUAGUAAUCAUAGAUUCACUAGUAUGGGUCCAUAGUCUCUACUUGAGUGGGGUGAUUAACUUGGGUGAGAUGGCAUUUACAACAACCCUUUUCCACAACUACUGCACUUAGGUUGAUUUUUGAACUCGGGUUGUCGUACGGAUGAUAUUCCCAGGAGAUCUUCUCGGAAUAUAUCGAGAAGGUUACGGGCUUUUUCAACAUCCAUGAUGUCUUUCUCUUCUUGUUUCUUAUCCACAGCACGGGCUAGGACGGCGUGGUACCUCCUGUGUAGCCAGGGGUGGCAAAUCGGACCAUCGUGACGUGUUUUUGUCUGACACGACAUGACACGACAAGGUUUUAUGUAACACGAACACGACACGACACGAUGUCUUGUUUUUUUUAACUAACGCGAAAACGAACCGAUUAAAACACGACAAACACGACACGACACGACAAAUAUAACAUAAUGAAAAAAUUAGUUUAUUUAAUUAAUAUUUAAUCAGAUCGGAAGAGCGNAUAACACGAAAACACGACAAAUAAAUGCUAAAUCGUGUCAAUUUCGUGUCAAAUUUUAAACACGAACAUGACACGACACGACAUCGUGUUAUUUACACUUAACACGAACACGACACGAACACGAAUUCGAAUUUCAGUUUUGUCCCAAUUUCGUUUCGUGUCGUGUUUUUUUGUCGUGUCGUGUCAACAAUUGCCACCCCUAUGUGUAGGUACUUCUGAGUCUUGUUGUAAAAGGUGCAUCGGGGGUUUGUGUCUUGUUUGUCGCCAUAGACAACGAGGGUUCUAUUACUCGAUGGGUUUAGGCGAAUGGCCUUUUCGUAAUAUAUGAUAUCGGUAUGGUGAGGAAACUAACUAAUACGUUGUUAAAAUGAAAAUGUCGUAAAUUUUUAUUGUGACCGGUUUUAGGAUGAUUUGAAUGAAUUGGUUGAUUUAGUGUUAGAGUGCACCCUAUGUACACGUCUCUAGUGCUUUUGAUUAUUCCAAUUCUACUGUAAAUAUUUCGUUUAAGUUUUUGAGGUUUUUGGUUGAGAAAUUGAUUAAAUCUACGACUCACAAUACUCCUCUCCGCGUUGCUAUUAUAUAGUAUCCAUGCAUAUGUGCUAUCGGGAAUGAACGUACCGGAAUCUCAGCAGGGUCUAUUACUGCUUUCCCACGCUCUGUUGCUAAAACACUUCCGAUGCUCCUGACAUCUUUGUUUUUAGUCUCCGGGAACUCCUUUAUGAAAUGCCCUACUUCUCCACAUCUGUAGCAAGUCCGACUCAUCCCAGCUUUUGUGUUCUGGUUGGUCUGUUGAGCCGGCACCCUACAGAACUUUGUGGUAUGCCCCUUUUUCAUUAUAGUUCUUGCAAUGCAUUUCCCUGCACUUUCCUUUGUGAUGAAAGCUACACUUGGUGCAUUUUGGAAGGUUUCCAACAUAUGGUCUUGUCGGCACUGAGGUAGUAGGGAUGGUGGUAUGAAAUGUCACUGUUUGUUGUCUUUUGGUAGGUCCUUGAUUCGAGGCAUCGUUGCAGGAACAUACUCGGGGUGUCCUUGGUUGUUAUUACGAUUGGAACUUUCGGCGUCGUUCCCACUUUUGUUUGUGUUGUUAGCGCCGAGGUGUGCCAUGACUGCUGCCACGGCAGCUGUUACCGCAAUUUGAAAUGUUGUAGGGUCUAUUUAUAGAACUAGUGUUGCACCAGUAUGCUGAUUACCUUCAUGUGUCGGCAUGAUUCUAUUUCGCGAGUGGCCUCCUCUGUUCUCAGUUCUGUGAUGACUGUCCAGGUUGUAGCUGUAAGGGUUCUUUGUCCUAUAACGACUAUCUCCUUUUCUAAGGAGUGUAGGUGAUCCGUAUUGUUCUCUUGAUCUGCUUGCCGGUCUAUGGGUGCUAUGGCCCGAAGUACGGUGCAGUGAGUUUAUGUCGGUUGUGGAUCAUCGGUUGUCCUCUCCAGUCUAUAUGUGUGGCUAGGUAGUUAAUUGCGGGUUGCUUCCUGAAAUGAGAGGUGGAGGUUCUCAUACUCCUCUUGAUAAGGUAAGGUUUAUUGAUGGUAUCUCCCGAACUUCUUUCUCCGUCUGGUCCCUUCUCGGAAAUCUUCUUCCUCGUAUUUCAUCUAUUGGUACUCUUCGAAAUCUUCUUCUGGAUCCUUCUUGAUCCAUCUAUUGGCUUCGGUGGCAGGAUAGUAGGGGUCUAUGUGGAGAUGAAGUCUAGCUGAUAUGCCUAUGCGAGAAUAGGGGUAAGAAGCAUAUGAAGAAUCUAAGUGUGUGGUUCUAUUGUAACGCAAAAUACUCCUAUAGUAUUUUAAAUUUGUAUGUUAAAGUUUUCUUUGUAUGGUUUGUUGGUAAGUUUUAGACUCGUCAUCCACUACGACCAUUCCUCGGCAUACGUUGGUCACCUCUUGGAUAAAUAUAGUUGAUCAGGCUAUAUUCAUCCCAGACAUGAUUACAUACCCCGAGGCUUACUCGCAGUGUUUAACUUAUCUUAAUACUUUUUGUUUUGUUGCCAAUAUGACUCCUUACUAGUAUGUUUGUAUGCACUUACAUUUUUCGUGAAAUCUCGGUCCAUUCGUGGUCCUUCUAUGGUUGCCUUGUGUAUACAGGUCAUAUACAGUCAGGAUUAAAUAGUCAGUCGAAUAAGUGAUCUUACCUUAUAUCCACAUCCAAACAAGGAAAAGGAAGUAAAGUGAAAAUCACAAAUUCUAAGUCUAUAAAACUUUUAGUAUAUACCACCUUAACGUAUACACUUAGCAAACAUAGACUUAACAGCAAAGGACCCCUAAUGUUCCUGUUUUGAAAUUGUUAAGUCAGAGAGUUUUAGUCCCUAUGUAUUUAUAGUUUGUAUAUCUUAUGUGGUUUGAUAUACUUAGCUCACUAUAAACAAUGCUCUGAUACCAAUCUGUCACACCCCCAAACCGGAACGGCGGAAACGUUCGGGGGCGGAUGACUUCAUGUGGUAACGUAACAAAUGAAUACAUAGUAAAGAAAGCAAUACAACCAUCAUAUAUAUAAUUGAAAGUUUACAUUGUUAAAAGGUACAUGUUCAAAACCAAUUACAAUAUGAUGCCAAAAUAUGAAUUUAAACUGGCGCCGCAGCGUCCCUUCUUCAAAAGCUGUUUGUUACCUGUAAUUACUGAAUCCCUGGGACAUACAAGUAGUUUUGAAAGAGUAGAUCAGCAUUUAAGCUGGUGAGUUUCAUAAGUAUUAAAUGACAAUGUUUGUAUGAAAUGAAAUGUUUUGUUGUUGUUUGUUUGUUCCUAGAAAAUCUUAUAUUUUCUACUAGCAUAAAUGUAGCUUUCUUUCAAGACCAAUGUUUGUUUCUAGAAAAUGUAUGUACGUAUAAAAUUUCCAAUACGUCUGAAAAACCCCGUAAAUCAAUGUGUUUUUAAUACUCCAUGUGAGUUUUAUAACCAUGCUAUUGACUAGAAAUGCCUAUACACAACGUUCUUCAGGCGUUGGAAUGUUCUGACGUUUGUCACCCCAAAUGGUGGACUGUAGCUAACAGUCAGGGCGCGGGUUGUCAAGCCCGUAUAGAUCUAUACACAAACACCAUGCUCCCCCUCCAAGGGAUUCUGGUAUAUAAUACAGGACUUGAANAUGAAAUGUGUACUCGAACGUAUGUGAAGUUAAUGUCUCAAAAAACUUAGUAUAAAAAAAACAGAUUUACGUGUGAAAAUGUUUGUAUAAAUGAUCAUCCCCUAAGACUGGGAUAGCUAUGAAAAACGACGUGAAAUCUUUAGAUAUGCAUUUGACAAUAUUUUACCCUUUGCUCAACAGGAUACAAAUGGAGUAGAGUUUCGUAAACUAUAUAUGUAUAUUUUUGAUGUAGAAGACAAGUUUGUAAACAAAACAUAUAUAUGCAUAUGGUUAUAUAUAUGUAUAAAUUUUAAAAGAUGAUUUGGUAUGUUUCGUAAUUGUUGUUCAUAUUCUUACGUUUUUAUUAGAAACUUUGCAUGAAAUAAUCCUUAAGUUUGAUACUAAAGACCUUUUUGUACUUAUCACUUUUGUAAAAAUGGUAAUUAAACAUAUUUAAAUGAUUGUGUUUUAACUUCCUUAAUGUAUAAACAUUGCUCAAAAAUGUUAGAAGGUGUUAAUAAAUCUAUAAACCACUUUUGACAGUUUUACCCUUUACUGUCCCUGUUUUUAGAAAACUCAUAGAAAAAUCAUCGUAAGUCAAAAACUGAAUCCGUCACCUCUGAGAGUUUAUAAAAUGAGUCUACUUUGUUCCUAAUUUUUAUUAUGAUUUUUAGUGGUCUCAAA